UGUCCACCACUCAAGGGGAAAUGACCAGAGAGUUUCUCAGGAGACCCUGAACUCAAAGAGACACCUUCUCUUUCUCAACAUGAUGAAACUUCUGCUGUUUGAGUCUUAUCUCCUCAUAGCUGUGAAGAUUCUAAGGAGAUGUUAAGCUGAGUAAGUGUGCAACUUUGUCACAGGUCGUGUCAGCUGUCAUUUUUAUAGCUACUGACAGGUUUUCUAAAGGAAAAGUGAACAGACCUCUAUUGAGGUCAUUAUAGAUAUUCAUUUCAGACUGGUAAUGUUUAAAGGAAUGAUUGCACUUACUCGUCAUCUGUGAUUCAGUGAUCAGUGGUUUUGGUCUUUGCAGAAGCUCUGUGGAAACCAGACCACAUCUGUUCAACACUUGGUGUGAACAAGGGGUUCAAUUUUCCCUCAGCUCUCCAGACACGCCCUCUGUUCAGACAGCAUUAUUCAGACAUGAGCCACGCCUGCUUCCCCGUCUCGCAGCUUUUCGGUUUUCUGGACUCCAUGGACCCAUGCACUGUUUCUCAAUCAUCAAAUCUUGUCUCAUUCUUCUUAAAAAUAUGUUAAUCAUAGAAUUAUUUGACAAAGACAUUAAGCUGUGUCUCCGACUGCUGCGAAGGAGCGAAGCGGGGGCUUGCACGCUUUCGACUGCUGCGGUCUGAGGCUGUGUUUGUUGCAUGUGGAGCUCUCUGAGGGAGAUCACAGAAACUGCAGUUUGUUUUAUCAUCAUCAGCUGCACGCCCAAAAGCCUCUAUGAUGAUGUGAGGUCAUCUGCACUUCUGGAACAUCUUAUUUCCUGCCAGACAACACCGGACCACACGGUGCACACAUUACAAAGGCACGUCUGCAGAAGAAUAGAGUCCAGUCUGCAGUGUUGGUUUGUCCUGAAAAGAAAAUGUGGGAGGCUUUCAAACACAUAUGAAUUAAAUAAAUGAAACAGUCCAUGGGUUUGCUGGGAAAAAGGGACAAAAACAUUUCAUUUCCUUCUUUCUAAACAAAAAUUUAUUGUAAGAACUUUUUGGGAACGUGUUACAAGUCUGAAAAUAGCCUCAAAUACAGAAAUAGCUGGAAAUCAACACAAAACCUCACCAAGAUCAAAUGUAAAAGGCAUUUUGGUUUAAUAAUUAAAACAAAGUCAAGAAAAGAAAUGUGACUAAUUUUUUACAACUUGUGUUGCUUUUAACAUUUCUUGUUUUUAGCAGUUGCAUUUGCUUUGAGAUGGAGCUCAGAAAAGUAAAAUUACUAUAAUUAGAUUUUCAUACAGAUUAUAAUCUGGCCUGUUGUGUGUUUUAUGGAGACAAACUCUGCUUGGCAAGACAGGAAUACUUUAUUGCUGCAUUUCCAUUUUUCCAAACUGAAAACACAAUUACAACAAUCGUACUGUUUGACGAAAUGUGUUGAGGUAAUAACUUCAGAAGAGCUCACUCGACUGAAGUUUCACCCAAUUUGAUUUUUGUUUCUAACUAAUAAAAAGAGGGGGAUAAAGAUUAUAUUAUAUCCUCUUUGAGAUCUUAAUAAUAAUAAUACAUCAAACUUAUAUAGCGCUUUUUAGGACACUCAAAAACAUUUUUGUGCACUCUCACAUUCACACACUGCCAGAGAUGGUAAGCUACUCUGUAGCCACAGCCACCGUAGGGCGGUCUGACAGAGGUGAGGCUGCCAUUUGGCGCCGUCGUCCCCUCUGACUACAGUCAACACAGGCAAGUUGGGUGAAGAAUCUUGCCCAAGGACACAACAGCAGAGUACCACUGGCGGGAGCUGGAAUCAAGCCCAUGACCUUCAGAUCAUGAAGCUACCUGCUCUACCUCCUGAGCUACUGCUGUCCUUAUGCGUCUUGCAUUUUUAUUACAUGAUUAAGUGCAGGAUUUAUCCAUCCAUUCAUUUUCCAUUUUGCAUCCAAGGUUGCAGAGGUAACAGGGCCAGGAGCAAAGCCAAGUUGUCCCCUGCCUGAGCUGAGGAGCAGCAGCAGCUCCAGUCUGAGUCAUACCUCCUCACCUGUAAGGCUGACUCUACAGGGGUCGUGUGUAACAGGAUCAUACCACCCCAGGAUUGUUGGAAAACAGAAUUUGAAACAAGAUCUGUGAUGAUUUCCCCUUAACCCUCCCACUGUCCUAAUGGGUGGGACCCCGCGAGGAAAGUUGACCAUUGAGCAGGGUUGAUGGUUUAUCCCUUGAGGUCCAUGUGGCAGGGGUGAGGAGUGAGCACCACCGCAUCUAGAACAUUUUAGUGUUUUGGUUGAUACCUUUAACAUGUUAAGUACAUUGAUUGAUAUAUAUAUAUACUUAUAAAGUGUAUAAUUGGGUCUUUACAAAUGCAAUCUUUCUGUUUCUAUGCCUUUUAUGACGUGUUCCUGUAAACUUGAUUAAAUCUAGAGUCUAGGUCUAAAAACGUCUUUGUACUGCCCCCUAUGGGUUGAACUGUGGCUACUGCAUUUUAAACUUGGAAUUAACUGGGGCUGGUACAGUCUCCUCCCACUCCCCCUCCCUCCCAGGAUGGAAAUGCCCCACACUUGGCCAUGCCACUCUGACCUCCUGACAACACCCACUUUCAUAGCAUUUUUCAAAUCUUGACUGGGGUGGAGUUACAUUUUCUGAUGGUGUGCAGUCCCUCUUUACAGUUAUAGUAGUUUCCUGGCGUUAGGGGGCAGUACAUACAUUUCAGGGAAGUUUUACACUCUAUCGCCGUGACUGUCGCUAAUUUAAAAAAACAUGACGGUAAAUAUUGUUACCUGUGGAGCAGAAAGCAUGCAACCUCAGUGUGGCUGCUCUUUGAUGCCCCUUCAGUUAAGUCCAUCGAGAGAAUGCAAUGCUGAUUGUAGUUGUAGUUCUGCUUGGGGUCCUGCAGCUGCCGAUGACAUCAUCAUAGUAUGGCAAUACCACUCAGCCAAAAUCAGUUUCAUCUCUUUUUCGAUUCAGUUCUUUCACAUAUGUUUUGGAAAGAGUUUAGCAGUUUUGUUAUUAAAUUCGUGUUACUAAAUUCUUACUACCUAAAUGUUUUCAAAUGUGGUAACGCUGCAAAGUCGUGUGUCAGCCAAUCAUCUAGUAUGACGUCAUUGACGGGCACAGGAACCCUAGCCAGCCAAAAGAAAACAUGACAUUUAAGAUGGCGUGUGCCAAAAGCACUAGACCUGUGCCCUAUGUUCUUUAGUCCUGAUUUUUAUGGUUACAUUUUACACCAAUAUUUGUCAGCCACUGGACAUCAUUUUAUUCAUUUUAAACAACAUUUGAAUGGAUAUUUCCAGAGAUUAAAGGUAAAAAUUACAGAUUGUCACUUUAAAACUUAAGCACGGGUCACGUUUUAUUUUCCAUAGUGUAAACAUUGUUUUCCUACACCUGUGAUUUACAGCCCCACUGCUGUAGGCUGUGUGUAAGUGAACAGGUCAUGCACAUUUACUUUUACUCGGUGAAAUAUUCUCCCAUAUUUAAAGGAUUUUAUCACCGCUGGAACGUCUUUAUACUCAUGAUUAAUGACUGUGUUUUAUACAGUCGUGACCUUCUGCACAAAAUGUGACAAAUGCAGUACUAGAACUGAAAAAGACUAACAAUUCUUCAUAUGAUAACAUAUUUUUUCACUUUGAAGUGCAGCACUGCGUGAGCUUUAACAGGAAAGGACUUUUUAGUUGAUUUUUAUCUCUUGCUCAGUGCUGCACGGGUUAUGUUUCAUAAUGUGGAAACGUGCAAAAAUGCUCAGAGACAGUCCAUUCAGUUUCUCUGAUGUUCCAGAUAUUUUGUAGUUUGUGUUGAAUUAUACCGAAGAGCAGUUCUAUUUCUGUUCAAGGACAAAUGAGAAAGACAAGUGUUUUUACACUAUGUACGGCUGCAGGUUGGCAGCGCCUGUCUGCAUUUGUGAUCCCACAGGUGGAGGUAAAUGUAACGAGAGGAGGACGAAAACAAAACAAGAAGGAACUGAUUCUGUUCUGCUCGACUCUGUGCUCUGAACCUGCCACAGGAUGAGAUGUGACUCGUCACAACAGAGACACUAAAUGCUGUUUGUGUAAUUUCCUAUAGCUUUGCCUAUAUGUGAUCCCUGCAAACAGUCAACGUCGCAUGGACGCGCAGAUCAUGUCUAUAGAUUGAGUCUGUUGGUCCAGACGUCUGUAGGACGUCCUAACUAGGUCUUUGCACAGUGGGAUGUGCCAACCUCUGCUCAUUGAUGGUGUCAAAGGUGAAAGGUCAUCAGCUUUAUCCAGAAAUGUAGGGCUCUUUGUGUGUUCAUCCAAAAGUUUAACUAACAAAACUGAUAUGUAACUGACUUAAGCUAAUGCAAGUAACAAUAGAUUCUUAAGUCAACAUCUGCCUAUUCAUGUGUAAGCUUUCCGCUGAUUCUUUUGUGAGCAGAAGCUAGGUUCUAAUUUAUUACUGGCAAUAAAUAAAUAUAUAAAUAAAUAAACAAUCACCAUAUCCUUUCAUGUAAUUUCAAGCAGAAUAUUUUCAAAGUAGCCAUUAGCAUUGCAGGUGCUGGCAUAAGAAGUUGGGACUUUUCUUUAGUUUUUCUUAGUGUUGUCUGAGCUUAAAACUUAACCUAAAUUUUGACCAGUAAAAAAAGAUAUUGGAUGGUUUUAGCACAAAUUAGAGUUUUAGAUGUUGUAAACUAGAUCAGAAAACCAAGGUGGGCACUAAAUGAUUAAAGUCACUCUGCUGUCAGAAGAGCUAAUUUGUUAGGACCAAGAAUGGCUACGUUCAAGCUGAUGGAAAGGUUACCACUUGUCUAUUUCAAAAGAAACAUAACACAAGCCAGAUAGGAUAU